AUCCAGCUGACUAGUCGCAAAUAAGACGAAACGCGAGUCCUGGAU
rnacentral:hammerhead_ribozyme from 1 species